CGAGUCUCUUUACAUCCAGCUAUCUCUUUGGGGGCUAUUCACGGCUGCAUGGUCUCGUGAGGGGGAAGGAGGACAGGAAACAGACAGUGUUCCAGCUGCCAGCCUGCCUCCCUGCCAGCUGACCCUUAUAAGCUGCCUGAAACUGGAUAGUGUUCUGCUGGGUCUUUCCAGAUGUCCCUCCCUCUCCCCAGCAAAGCUUCCCAGCUCCCCCUGGGGGACCCCAAGGCGUCCGAGGCCAGACGAGAUAUGUAAUCCCUCCAGCGUGUUCUGGGUCUGCCCCAGGCCUCCUAUCAGUUGGAUGUGCCUGGAACACCUCUAACGGGAGCCCAGGAGACAUCCUGAUCAGAUGCUUGAACCACCUCAACUGACCCCUUUCAACAUGAAGGAGCAGCAGCUCUACUCCGAGCUCCCUCCGGAUGUCCAAGCUCCUCACCCUAUCUCUAAGACUGAGCCCAGCCACCCUUAGUGGCUGAAACUCAUAUCGGCUACUUGUAUCUGCAACCUCAUCCUUUUAGUCAUUACCGAUAGCUCAUGACCAUAGGUGAAGGUUGGGAUGUAGAUGGACCAGACUAAUAGCGGUACAGUUAACAUAAUGAGUUCCAUAGCAAUCCUGUUUUAAUGUGUCAUGGGUAGGCAAUGCAUUGUUCUUCAAAAAGACCGGUCAUUUACUGAAAGAGACAACUAUCCAACUUUAAUUUGAAGAAAUACAUUGAUUAUACAGAAUAAAACAUUUAGUAGGAACAAGCCCAUUCUGGUUUAAAAACAGAACACACAGGCCUGCAAUUAUUUUUGUGAGUGGCUAGUGGGGGUCAAUUAUAUCAGGGUAGCCGUGGCCACCCAUUGACAGCACCACUGCAAUUACAAACUGUAGCAGUAUUACAUGUAAAAGAAAAUAAAUUAGUAUUUGAGUGUGGUGGACUUAAAUUGACAGGAACUUAGCAAAAUUUAAUUUGUAUCCUUUGAAGCAUGUCUUCUGUUAUUUCCAGGGGCACAUACCCUUAAAGAGUAUGUUCACUUCUACAACAUAACUAUCACAACAGUAUGCCUAAAGAUAGUAGGGCUUUCACACUUAAUACUUUGUAGUAGUAGAUAAUUGAGUGGUGAUAAUGUGUGUUGGAAGUGUAGCAGUAUAGUGUUGCUUCCAUUUAGUGAUCUUUGUAAACAAAUAGUCUCUAAAUGUUUCAUGGUGCCUUCAGGGAAUUCUCUAGGAAGCUGAAAGACAAGUGAAAUAUUUAUGAAACACUGAAAUGGCACAAAUGGCCAAGUCUUAGGGCAAUGUCUUGUUAAUGAGUGUCUUGAAUAGCAAGAUUGUUUAUGAUAUAUGAGCUGGAUCGCUAUAUGAAAAAAUGGAGGGACACAGUGUAACAGACCAGUGUGGUGCAUAAAGAGAGUCAGUAAUUUUAUGAGCAACUCUCCUUCUCUGAUCUAACUCCUAAACUUUAAACACAACUGCCACCUAGUGAUGAAAAUGGACAAACACGCACAUUAAUUUUUUUAAAUGCUGGUGUCACUGAUGAGGUUUUGACAUGUCACAGUAGCAAAAGCCCAAGUUUUAAUCACAACAUUAAUGAUGGCUAUGACUUAAAGAUACUUUGUAGCCUACAAAGAAUUGUUACAAGGAAUCUUUCAAGUGUACAGCCGGAUAAACAAUCUUAGAACACACAUACAGGUAAACAACAAUCUUCCUGAUUUGCGUCAUUCACCUUUGGCUUUGCUUGUCUUGCAAUAAGUUAUUAACUUACAAUGUUGCUCUUUUAAUUGUUUUUACAACUUUUUAUUGACCAUGGUUUAGUCACUUGUUUAUUGGAAAACAAUCAGAAGUCCAUUACUGAAGUGACUUGUUUAAUGAAGUCACUGAGAAUUCAUCAUGAGGAAGAAUAUUUGGUCGCAUACAUUGCAAAGUGUGAUUUAAAGGCUGCAGAGAAAACACUCUCAUCUCUUUAACAGCUCUGGCAUACAUCUGAUCUGUUUUAUGUCUCUGCCUGAGAAACUGUUGUUUGAGACCCACACUUAACAAUGAGUUCCAUUAAAUUCACCAGAAGAAAACCAUUAUCUCUUAUUCUGCAACGGUGAUGGGAUAAGAUCUUUAAAGACAAAAGAUACACCGAGCCAGAGGACAAUGCUGCUGAUGAGCCACAGGGGAUGAAGAAUUGUUCUGCAACUUCCUCUUCUUUAUUUAAUAGAAAAGCAAUAAAGAAAUUGUCCACAAAGGAUGAGGUGAUAUGGAAAUAUGGAGGCACGGUUGUCAAAUACUGCAGAUAGAUAAUUUCUCUAUUUCAUUGCUACUCCUUAUGUAACAAUGUUCAUCUGUAUUGUCCCUGUGAAAUA